CAGGUGGGGUUCAAAUCUAAGAGCGCCACAUCGUGUGGCAACGCCUUCGUGACCAACAUCCUGUUAG
rnacentral:sRNA from 1 species